rnacentral:rRNA from 1 species
GUGAAAUUUUUAAUGUAAGGGAAAUUCUUAAGAAAUCUGUUGAGACUAAAAAAUUUAGGUAAAAAACCAGGAUUAGAUACCCUGUUAUUCUAAAUAAUAAUGUAAAUAGGGUAGUAAAAGUUGUUCUUCAAACCCAAAGAUUUUGGCGGCAUCUUAUCCUAAUAGAGGAGCUUGUCCUAUAAUUGAUAGUCCCCAUUUUAUCUUACCCUUUUUUGUUAAGCUUGUAUACCGCCGUUGUCAGGUUACUUUAAAAGAACGUUUUCAGGAAAAAUAUUUUUCUUACUUCAGGUCAAGGUGCAGUUUAUAAAAGGGCAGUGAUGAGCUACAAUUUUUAAUAGAAAUACGGAUUUUAGGUUUAAAACUCAGGUGAAGGUGGAUUUAUUAGUAAAUUUACUUAAGUACAGUAAGUUGAAUAAGGCAAUAGGAUGUGCACAUAUCGCCCGUCACUCUCUUCUCAAGAGGAGA